GCCUUCAUAGUGUAACGGUUCGCACACUUGGUGCAUAUUCGAGAGGUCCAGGUUCGAGUCCUGGCGAUGGCA
rnacentral:tRNA from 1 species